GAUGAACGCUGGCGGCGUGCCUAAUACAUGCAAGUCGAGCGAACGGACGAGAAGCUUGCUUCUCUGAUGUUAGCGGCGGACGGGUGAGUAACACGUGGAUAACCUACCUAUAAGACUGGGAUAACUUCGGGAAACCGUAGCUAAUACCGGAUAAUAUUUUGAACCGCAUGGUUCAAAAGUGAAAGACGGUCUUGCUGUCACUUAUAGAUGGAUCCGCGCUGCAUUAGCUAGUUGGUAAGGUAACGGCUUACCAAGGCAACGAUGCAUAGCCGACCUGAGAGGGUGAUAGGCCACAAUGGAACUGAGACACGGUCCAGACUCCUACGGGAGGCAGCAGUAGGGAAUCUUCCGCAAUGGGCGAAAGCCUGACGGAGCAACGCCGCGUGAGUGAUGAAGGUCUUCGGAUCGUAAAACUCUGUUAUUAGGGAAGAACAUAUGUGUAAGUAACUGUGCACAUCUUGACGGUACCUAAUCAGAAAGCCACGGCUAACUACGUG
rnacentral:rRNA from 1 species